rnacentral:lncRNA from 1 species
AGCUCCACAAGGACAGGAGAGCAGAAGGGGCAGAGGUCAUCUGUUGAUGAGACCAACAUUGUACAGAGGGGGGGCGAUGUUCUCUGACACACGCUUCCAAAACAGGUCAGCGAUGUACUGCAGCUGGAGGAGAACACCACCAUCAGGGGUCACCAAUCCUGGUGCUGGAGGGCUCCAGACCUGCACAGCUUCGGUGGCGAAUUCAAUUGCAUUACCGCGGCUCCACGGGAGAUCACCUCUCACCGCGCCAUCUGCGCCAAGACAGCAUCCGAAGCCGCAGCUGCGAGAAGAUCACAAAUGUACACAAACACUCACCGAGCAGCAAAACCACACCGGGACUCAAACACACCAAUACAACAGCCUACUGUAAAAAUGCUUUUGGGUGAAUUCUAGGCUGACUCCACAAGACCUUCACGAUCUGGCAAGCAGAUCCUGUAAGUCGCUAGGUGGGACCACUGUGGAUUAGACUUGCUUUUGCAGCACAUCCCACAGAUGCUCGUGAACAUUUAACAACCUUCAAGGUUAGCCUUCACUCUCCACAGGCAUAAAUGAGUCUUGGGUGCCCAUAAGUCAUAUCCAUGCAGUCAUCCUCCACCUGGACCAAUUGUGUUGGGAAUGAAAUCCCUGCACACCAGCAGCAGCAAGAGUGCAGACUAUGUCUUCUGCACUUCACCCAUCUCAUGUAGUGGCAGUGGACAGCCAUGAGUCUUCCUGAACAUUUAGGCCACAACUGCCCCACAUGAACAUCACAACAUGAACUGGCUGUGUGCUUGAGGACAUGCAACUAUAUAUUUUAUUUUAAUACAUAUUUGUGUUGUUAUCUUGAGAUCACGCUUUAAUUUUUGUCACGUUUUCUCCCUGUAAAUGCAGUCUCAUGCAUCGGCGUAUGUAGAUCAUCAUUAGCACCUAUGUUGCCCCACCAUCAGGGGUCACCAAUCCUGGUGCUGGAGGGCUCCAGACCUGCACAGCUUAGAUCUUUUCCUGCUCCACUCAACUCAGGUUGACUCAUGAAUGAGUAGAGAGAUUAAAUUGUGUGUCCUAACUGUGCAUAAACCCAAAAGGUGUGCAGGGAAAGUGGCCUCCAAGACCAUGCUUGGUCUAAAUAAACGUGCAAUACGUGCAAGAUACCUGUGACUU